rnacentral:rRNA from 1 species
GGCGGCAGGCUUAAACAUGCAAGUCGAGCGGGCGUAGCAAUACGUCAGCGGCAGACGGGUGAGUAACGCGCGGGAACGUACCUUUUGGUUCGGAACAACCCAGGGAAACUUGGGCUAAUACCGGAUAAGCCCUCACGGGGAAAGAUUUAUCGCCGAAAGAUCGGCCCGCGUCUGAUUAGCUAGUUGGUGAGGUAAUGGCCCACCAAGGCGACGAUCAGUAGCUGGUCUGAGAGGAUGAUCAGCCACAUUGGGACUGAGACACGGCCCAAACUCCUACGGGAGGCAGCAGUGGGGAAUAUUGGACAAUGGGCGCAAGCCUGAUCCAGCCAUGCCACGUGAGUGAUGAAGGCCCUAGGGUUGUAAAGCUCUUUUGUGCGGGAAGAUAAUGACGGUACCGCAAGAAUAAGCCCCGGCUAACUUCGUGCCAGCAGCCGCGGUAAUACGAAGGGGGCUAGCGU